AUGCAAGUCGAACGAGAUUUUUUCCUGUAGCAAUACAGGGAAAAGUCUAGUGGCGAACGGGUGCGUAACACGUGGGCAAUCUGCCUUAAAGUGGGGGAUAGCUCGGCGAAAGCCGAAUUAAUACCGCAUGUGAUCAGGGGAGACAUCUUCCCGAAAUCAAAAGUGGCGCAAGCUACUGCUUUUUGAGGAGCCCGCGGCCUAUCAGCUAGUUGGUGAGGUAACGGCUCACCAAGGCUUUGACGGGUAGCUGGUCUGAGAGGACGACCAGUCACACUGGAACUGAGACACGGUCCAGACACCUACGGGUGGCAGCAGUCGAGAAUUUUUCUCAAUGGGGGAAACCCUGAAGGAGCGACGCCGCGUGGAGGAUGAAGGUCUUCGGGUUGUAAACUCCUGUCAUUUGGGAACAAGUGCCGGUACGUAACUGCUACCGGCUUGAUAGUACCAGAAGAGGAAGGGACGGCUAACUCUGUGCCAGCAGCCGCGGUAAUACAGAGGUCUCAAGCGUUGUUCGGAUUCAUUGGGCGUAAAGGGUGUGUAGGUGGCGCCGUAAGUCGGGUGUGAAAUUUCGGAGCUUAACUCCGAAACUGCAUUCGAUACUGCGGUGCUUGAGGACUGGAGAGGAGACUGGAAUUCAUGGUGUAGCAGUGAA
rnacentral:rRNA from 1 species